rnacentral:rRNA from 1 species
ACGGAAGGCAGCAGUGGGGAAUAUUGGGCAAUGGGGGAAACCCUGACCCAGCAACGCCGCGUGAAGGAAGAAGGCUUUCGGGUUGUAAACUUCUUUUAAGAGGGACGAACACAAUGACGGUACCUCUUGAAUAAGCCACGGCUAACUACGUGCCAGCAGCCGCGGUAAUACGUAGGUGGCAAGCGUUAUCCGGAUUUACUGGGUGUAAAGGGCGCGUAGGCGGAGCGGCAAGUCAGAUGUGAAAUCUCUGGGCUUAACCCGGAAACUGCAUUUGAAACUGUCGCCCUUGAGUGUCGGAGAGGUAGAUGGAAUUCCUAGUGUAGCGGUGAAAUGCGUAGAUAUUGGGAGGAACACCGGUGGCGAAGGCGGCUCACUGGACGAUAACUGACGUUGAGGCUCGAAAGCGUGGGGAGCAAACAGGAUUAGAUACCCUGGUA